AGCAAACAAUUAACAGCAGGGCAAAACAGCAGACAGAAACAGGGCAAAAACACAGACAGACUCAUUACAACCUAACACUUUGAAAUGCUGUAGUUCUAGAAGAACUUUAAGGCUUGGGACACUAGAGUAAAUGAAGUGAACAGUGAACAAAUUCAACAGAAGAGGAUGGAUAAGCAAACUACAGGCUUGCUCCUCUAUAGAUGGGAACCAGAAUCAGAAUGUGUCCAGAAUCAUAUUUAUCCAUUUGGACUGAUAUGGCCAGCAGAAUAAUUGGACAAAUCUGAUUGGAUGAACUGAGAGCAUUCCUGUUCUGGGUCAAUAUUGACCGGAGACAUGACAGGAUACAUUGCAGAUAAUGAUGAUAGAUUGCAUGGAUCUGAUCCUCAGGACUGGCCCAGGCAACCCGAUCACAGACAUUACACACUGAUGCAACAAAAAAAUCUAUACAGCAGACACUACUCUCCAACCUGACAGAUGUGUGAUGUCUAUAAAACCAGUGGUGAGUCAGCCAAAGGUUUUUAUUAAUGUCAGCAUCAGUUGCAUCAAUAGGAUCAAUAGGAAUCGGUUGGACAAAUAGAAACAACUCUUUCCUGCCCCAGGAGCCUUCAUUUAAGUAAGACUCUGAUCAAAUUUAUAUGAUGGCUGAUACAACUCCUUAAUACAGAAAUAGUGUUCUGAAACAUGCUACUGACUUAAUUUUCAGAUAAAUUUGUACCUGAUUAGAGGCCAAAAGAAACUGUUUGUUGCCCAGGAUUGCACAGAUAGAUCAUAGUGACAUCUAGAGUAACAGAAAAGCACAUACAGCACCAAUCCAGCUGAGCACGCAGGAAUCAGUGUUCCUCAAUAGUGAGCACCAACACAGGAUUUUUUUUUUUUUUUUUACAGAUUGCUUCUUAGAAUUUUCUUAUGCUUUAACAAAAUUGUAUCGUUGUCAGUAUAUUAAUGCUAUAUGUAUUAGAAGAAGAAAAUAUCAGUAAAAAAAUGUAUGUAUUAUGUUGUUGGCUUAACACUUGAUAUUUGAUCAGUCUAUCUUAUUCCCCUGCUUUUCAAUGCUCAUACAUUCUAUCUAUACAUAAUUUACUAAUACUUAGUUGUUUCACAUAUCAGUACAUGGAUCUGUUAUAUCUCUUCUCUUCACUAAUUCUGCUUACUCACUUUUUAUGUUUUGAGAAUGUCAAAUUAAUUGAACCAUGCUGUCCCAAAAUAAAAAUCCUGUUAAACAUCAUGAAAAUUAUGAAAUUAUAAACAUAUGUACAUUAUUUGGUCUAAAAUAUUUUGACACUAAUAAUGUGAAAUAUAUUACUUUGACAAUUUUAUAGCUAUGAUGAAACAAUAUAUUAAAAAUGUCAAUGCAUGUAUAAGA